UUUAAAGUCUAAUCUGCCCUAUGAGGAUUUAAAUGGCCGCGGUAUUUUGACCGUGCAAAGGUAGCAUAAUAAUUAGUUUUUUAAUUGAAAGCUGGAAUGAAUGAUUGGACGAGAAAAUUACUGUCUCAGUUUAGUUUAAUUAGAAUUUUAUUUUUAAGUAAAAAAGCUUAAAUUUUAUUAAAAGACGAGAAGACCCUAUAGAGUUUUAUACUAUUUUAUUUAUUAAUUUUUUAGAAUUAUUAUAUUAAUAUUUAAAUUAAUAUUUUGUUGGGGCGAUAGAAAAAUUUAAUAAACUUUUUUUUUAUAAGUACAUUAAUUUAUGAUUUAAUGAUCCAUUUUUUAUGAUUAUAAGAUUAAAUUACCUUAGGGAUAACAGCGUUAUUUUUUUUUAGAGUUCUUAUCGAAAAAAAAGAUUGCGACCUCGAUGUUGGAUUAAAAUAAAUAUUUAGUGCAGUAGCUAAGUAGUUAGGUCUGUUCGACCUUUAAAAUUUUACA
rnacentral:rRNA from 1 species